UACGAAGGGUGCAAGCGUUACUCGGAAUUACUGGGCGUAAAGCGUGCGUAGGUGGUUCGUUAAGUCUGAUGUGAAAGCCCUGGGCUCAACCUGGGAAUGGCAUUGGAAACUGGCGACCUAGAGUGCGGUAGAGGGUAGUGGAAUUCCCGGUGUAGCAGUGAAAUGCGUAGAGAUCGGGAGGAACAUCCGUGGCGAAGGCGACUACCUGGACCAGCACUGACACUGAGACACGAAAGCGUGGGGAGCAAACAGG
rnacentral:rRNA from 1 species